rnacentral:lncRNA from 1 species
CUGUGAGGGUGGCUUUGUGAGGAUGGCUUUGUGUGGCUGCACAUUGCCCUUGGCCAAGCCCCGCUGCCAGGAGAGGCAGCUCGGCUGCCAAACCUCCUGAACCCAAGUUACCUGAGCAAGCAGCCCUAUCCCCUCGCCUGCUUCUCACUGCCUCGCCUGCCUUGGGCCUGCCCGACCCAGGGGGUCACAUGCCUUGUUCCCCAUCAGUGGAGACCAGGGACAAGAAGACAGUUCUGUGGGAAGAGCCAGGAGGACCAUUUGGGAAAAUACAGGUUCCAGGUGUGUCUCCAGACCUUGAGAGUUGGUGUCUCCUGGGAAGAGGCCCUGAUGAGAUCUGGGGAGAUUCGGAUCUGAUGAGAUUCAGGAAGCCCUGGCCUCUCCGUACUUGAGGAGACGGGACACACAGGACAAGCUGCAGGCUGGUGAGCAGGUUCACCUUCUAUUUUGAAGACCCGCUUCUUCCUCAGGUACCUGAUCUUGAAAACGACCUCCCCUUUCAGACGGUUGAGCCCAUAGAACAGGAGUGAGAAGAUGGAAGGGCGAGGGGGCUGGGAUGAUGAAAACUUGCGCCUGCAGCCACCAUUCAUUACAGAGCGCCGGGGGCCAGCUGCAGAACUGUAGACUCCUCAUACAUCAUCGUGUUGAGUCUUCAAAACAAACCUAUGAGGCUGGAGUGCAGCAGCGCGAUCUCGGCUCACUGCAACUUCCACCUCCUGGUUUCAAGCAAUUCUCCCGCCUCAGCCUCCCGAGUAGCUGGGAUUACAAGCACCCGCCACCAUGCCCGGCUAAUUUUUAUAUUUUUAGCAGAGGCGGGAUUUCUCCAUGUAGCCCAGGCCGGUCUCGAACUCCUGACCUCAAGUGAUCCACCCACCUCAGCCUCCCAAAGUGCUGGGAUUACAGGUGUGAGCCACCAUGCCCCGCCAGCCAUCAGAGUUUUAUAGCAAGAAUUUUUACCUUUGUCCUUAGUGCAAUGGGAAAUCCUUGAAACGCUAUUAUUGCCUUCCUCUGCAAGGAAAGGUUAUUUUGGUGAGCAGUGGAUAGAGGAAAUGCAGAGGGAGCCACUAAAGGGUUCUGGUGAGAUCUGGAGCCCUGCUGGGAUAAUCUGACCAGAGAAAGCAAAGAUUCCAGAGAGCUAGGCACACUUGCCCUACCUCCAGCUGCACACAGCUGGUUCCAGCUUUGUCCUGACCUUCAGUCUGGCAUACAGGGUAGACCCACUGGUACCUGGUACCUCACUCUGGGGGUGAGGUGGCCACCCACCUAGGUCUGGGUCCUGUAGCAGUUUGGCAGCAACAUCUGGGUGAUAAGAGAAGGCGAUUUGACCUACUCCCAGGGACAAGAAGCUUUGACUCUUCAAGAUCAUAAAGUCUUCCCUCCUGGCCUUGGGUCCUCCUGUUGCGGGAGAGGUGAGGUGGGGUGAGGGUCCUCCGGGAGGGCAGGCUUGGCAGAGCCCAGCACCAUCUCAGCAGACACUGCUCUUCUCCUACUCUCAGCACCUCCAAGGCAGUGAGUGGCUUUCUCUUGUCUAGAGGACAAAAUCCGUUCCUCACCUGGACACAAUGAACCUGUCUGUGGGAUUUAGGGAGCAUCAAGGAGGGAAUUUAGUUUCCGCAGACUUCAAGGAAGACUUUCUGGAGGAGGUGAUGCCUGAGAGCUAUCCAGGAGAGAAGAGUGAAAAAAUGUUAAGCAGUGGAAAAACAUGAACCAAACUGUGGCUGCAUCUUCCCAUAGGGCAACAGGGACUUAGCGCGUGCAAUCAAGGAUCUCCAGAUGGGGAUAACCCAGGUGUGCCCAACCUAAUCUCAGUGUCCUUGGAAGAGGGAUGCAGAAGGAGUCAGAAUCAGAGAAGAAGGUGACACGAUGAAGGAAUCCGAAAUUAGAGUGAUGCUCUUUGAAGAUGGAGGAAGGGACCACAAGCUGAGAAAUAGAGGUGGCCACUAGACACUGAAAAAGGCAAGGAAGUGGAUUCUCCCCUGGAGCCUCCAGAAGGAACCAGCUCUGCCGACACCUUGACAUUAGCCCAUUGAGACUGAUUUAAGGGCUGCUGGCCUCCAGAAUUGUAAGAGAAUAAACGUGUGUUGUUUAAGGCCCUUGGUUAGUAGCGAUUUGCUACAGCAGCUGCAGAAACCUAAUAAGUAUAGGUUCCACCUAGAGACGCAGAACUAGCCAGCGGCCGAUCCUGCUCCGGGACCCUGCAGGCCCCAGCUCUAUGGAAUCCUGUCGCACACGGGAUGGACGUGGGCUAGAGGCGGAGGAAGGGGAGGAAGUGAAGAUCUUCAGACUAAGAUGGAUGAAGCUGAAUUCAGAUCUCAGCUCCAAGGUGAAUGAGCAAACAGCACAGAAAAAGAAACAGCAGUAUAUGUGGAAGAAAGCAAGAAAAAUCAACUGGCCUGGAACCUAAGACUUGUCCAAAGAUGUCACAGAGAGUAAAAUGAGAAAAAUCCAGUAGCCCGUGCCCAGAGCAGUUCCUCGUACCCAGCAGAAGGCUAACAAGCCCUGAGAUGAAUGAUGCUCUUCCCAAGGAAGGCAGAGGAGGCGACAGUCCAUUUGCGUUCUCUCCUCUGCAAGUACAGGAUCUCGUUUGAUUCUCAAAACCACCCUAGAGGAGACAGGAGGCACCUGAGGCCCAGAGACGUGAAGCCACCUGUCCAAGGCCAUACAGCAGAUAACUUAUUCUGGAGGAAGACACCUGCCAUGCCGUGAGGACAGUCAAGCAGUUCUGUGGAGAGAUCCAUGUGGUGAGAAACAGGGGCCUCCUGUCAACAGGAAGAACAACCUGGCAGGCCUGUCUUGGAUUCAGAGCCUCCAGCCCCAGUCGAGCCUUCAGAUAACUGCACCCUUGGCUGUCAUCUCAACUGCAAUCUCACGACAGACCCUGAGCUGGAACUACUCUGUUUACCAAUGCCUGGCCCACAGAAAGACUAUGAGAUAAAACAAGUAUAUUGUUUUUAGAAGAUAUGUUUUGGAGUAAUUUAUUAUGCUACAAUAGAUAAUACAGAAUUUGGUGAUUUUAUGAUUCUCAACUCCUGGCCAAAGCAAAGCACACAACAAGUCUCAAAGAAAAGUCUCACAAGUGGAAUUGAAAGUACAAAGCUGGCCAGACAAGCUUGUGCAGACAUGUAUGUGGUGGAGUUGAAAAUCACACACUACGACUCACACAAGUGAGUAAAACCUGCGUCUUUCUUAAUUUUUCUUGUACUCUUCUCAUCUAGAUCUAAUGAGAUACUUCCUGCUGUUGACAGGCAAUAAAUGAAUGAACGACAA